GACGAACGCUGGCGGCGUGCCUAAUACAUGCAAGUAGAACGCACAGUUUAUACCGUAGCUUGCUACACCAUAGACUGUGAGUUGCGAACGGGUGAGUAACGCGUAGGUAACCUGCCUGGUAGCGGGGGAUAACUAUUGGAAACGAUAGCUAAUACCGCAUAAUAUUAAUUAUUGCAUGAUAAUUAAUUGAAAGGUGCAAUUGCACCACUACCAGAUGACCUGCGUUGUAUUAGCUAGUAGGUGAGGUAACGGCUCACCUAGGCGACGAUACAUAGCCGACCUGAGAGGGUGAUCGGCCACACUGGGACUGAGACACGGCCCAGACUCCUACGGGAGGCAGCAGUAGGGAAUCUUCGGCAAUGGACGAAAGUCUGACCGAGCAACGCCGCGUGAGUGAAGAAGGUUUUCGGAUCGUAAAGCUCUGUUGUAAGAGAAGAACGGGUGUGAGAGUGGAAAGUUCACACUGUGACGGUAUCUUACCAGAAAGGGACGGCUAACUACGUG
rnacentral:rRNA from 1 species